UACGUAGGGUGCAAGCGUUGUCCGGAAUUAUUGGGCGUAAAGAGCUCGUAGGCGGUCUGUCGCGUCGGCUGUGAAAACUCGGGGCUCAACCCCGAGCUUGCAGUCGAUACGGGCAGGCUAGAGUUCGGCAGGGGAGACUGGAAUUCCUGGUGUAGCGGUGAAAUGCGCAGAUAUCAGGAAGAACACCCGUGGCUAAGGCGGCUCUCUAGUACGGUACUGACGCUGAGACGCGAAAGCGUGGGGAGCGAACAGG
rnacentral:rRNA from 1 species